CUAUAGAAAUCCACUUCUCCUUCUUUUAGCCACUUGUAUUAAUGCAUAAGAAGUGGGGGGGGGCGUUGGAAACAUACAGAUGAAAAGGUUGUUAAGAACAGAACAGUCUGGGGAGAAGGUUUAUAAUAGUUAGUGAUAAUAAAAGCAGCAGUAUCUAAGAAGGUACUUGUGAAUUUCCAAACACUGUCAAUUAUUAUGCAAUAUCCCGAUGUUCAGGUAAAUGAUUGACUCAAGCAAACUCAUGAUUAAAGCAAGACAGGAAAUCCUAGAGCUUACUAGAAAGAAGCAUUAGAAUGUGAAGUGGACAUUGAGGAGGGACGAUGAUGGCAGACGUCGUGAGGAUGAUGCCAUGCUGCUUCUGCCUGGACUCCCGCAGGGGGCUCUAGGACGAUUAUAACCGAGCAGCUGCUGCCUUGCAGGCAGGAGGCUUGAGGAUGCAGCCUCCCCUGCUGUCACGGAGGACUGUUAUCUACUUUUGGGAUCAAACGCAGUACCUCCUGCAUGCCAGGUGAGUGCUCAACCACUGAGCUACAUCUGCAGCCAGAAUUUCAGUUGUAUGAAAUAUCAACACCUCCUCCCCCUCCUUCACUUUUACUGAACGAAGCAGCUAGUCGGAGGUGUGUGCAAUAAGGAAGAGCUCUUGGGAGUUUCCAAUAAAACAGAAACCGCCCCAACAUCACGUCUCACACAUCUUCUCUGGAACCGGUGAUAGUUUUGUGCGUUUGAGUUCAUCCUUUUCCUCGGGUGAGCCUUUUCCCAGGGUUCUAGGUACCAAGCAAAUUUGGUUCUGUGGAUGCACUGCCAGGUCGGCUGCCUGCAGAAGGGCAGAGUUGUAUUAAAUAUGAAACUCAGCCAGUGCCUUCUUCUUGACCUUCCUCGGGCUGUGAAACGGCUCCAUUUGUGUCCUCCAUUACACAUGAGAAUGUACAAAUUCCAUUUGUUUAACUGGCCAAAGAAACAACACGCAACCACUGCAGGAUGCUUUACCCAACACACAUUCCUAAAAGGAAGAGCUACGGUUUCAGAAUAUUUUGCAUACUGAACCCACGGAGGAGGCUUCAGGUGGUACAAGGUCCCUUCAACAGUUAACAGAGCAUGUCACCCUCAAGAAAACCCAACGCUGCCUUUGUCAUUUGUAUCUCUUGAAGUCCUUGUCUCCGGUGAGCUAAUUAUGCGAAGUUCACCGUAAUGUGAAAUCAACUAAGGCAGGAAGUUUCCUUCAAUUUUUCUUAUGCUUGCAAGAUGUAUGGCCUUUUAAAAAUGUAUUCAAAUAAAUAUAUUCACUCGAGCACAGAAUUAAUGUGGUUCUGGAGGGCUGCCCUGGUGAUUAAUUCUUCUCUCUUUCUGAGAAUAAAUGGCCUGGAUAUUUAAUGUUGUUCAUUAAUCUAUAACUAUUACAUAACAUUGCCACGAUGUUUACUAUGGUCUUUGCAUUACUGUGUCUUGAAUGGUAACUUUUUGCAAACGUGUUUGAUUGAGAAGUCAGCUAUAAAUUCAAGUAACAGGCAAGUUCGACUUGGCUGUGGGACUGCCUAGAGUGUGGCCCAUCCCUUGAAAAUGUUCAGAGAGUACAGUUCUUCUUGCCAACUAAGAAAUAAAGGAUUGAAGAGAUGAGAGGUUUAGCAGAGCUCUCACUGCUCUAGCAAAGGACCACUUUGGUACGCAGCAGCAUUUACAUGGUGGUUCAA